GUUAGUCCUGAUUCCUCUCACCUGUGUUUCUCCCUCGUGCUCGUUAGUCCCUGGUGUUAAAUGUUUGCUGUUUCUGUUCAGUCUCUGUCCUGUCAUUGCAAUGUGUUGUGGUUACUGUUUGUCUUGCCUGCCUGCCUGCCUGCCUGCCUGCUUCCAGCCUGAACCCUGCCUGUACUUCAUUUGUUCUGUGGAUUAAGGAUCACACCCGUUUGGAUUUUCUGUUCGUUUUUGGUUUAUUUUGGUUUACAUUGGACUCAGCUACUCACGUCUACCACUCCUCCCACCUCUUCUGCUUCAUCACUCUUUGUACCAUGCAGAUGGAUGAAGGAGACAGGGUAAUACAAAGAGGAGAGAGGAGAAGGCAAUGCACAAAGACCAUAACGUAGAAUCCGUUUGGCUUCACUGUAUUAGGAUGGAGGUGAGAAUCGCAAGGAUGGAUAUGUCAAAACCUCAACACACACAAUCCCUUGAGGAAAGUAACAAAUUA